GAUGAACGCUGGCGGCGUGCCUAAUACAUGCAAGUCGAGCGAACGGACGAGAAGCUUGCUUCUCUGAUGUUAGCGGCGGACGGGUGAGUAACACGUGGAUAACCUACCUAUAAGACUGGGAUAACUUCGGGAAACCGGAGCUAAUACCGGCUAAUAUUUUGCACCGCAUGGUUCAAAAGUGAAAGACGGUCUUGCUGUCACUUAUAGAUGGAUCCGCGCUGCAUUAGCUAGUUGGUAAGGUAACGGCUUACCAAGGCAACGAUGCAUAGCCGACCUGAGAGGGUGGUCGGCCACACUGGAACUGAGACACGGUCCAGACUCCUACGGGAGGCAGCAGUAGGGAAUCUUCCGCAAUGGGCGAAAGCCUGACGGAGCAACGCCGCGUGAGUGAUGAAGGUCUUCGGAUCGUAAAACUCUGUUAUUAGGGAAGAACAUAUGUGUAAGUAACUGUGCACAUCUUGACGGUACCUAAUCAGAAAGCCACGGCUAACUACGUG
rnacentral:rRNA from 1 species